rnacentral:lncRNA from 1 species
ACUACACGGUAUAUCUCUGUAUAAACCGGUUGUAGUACAUAUAUACGAAGACGGUGCGUAAACAGAGGAGCGUUACGAAAAUAAUGUAGGAGUGCGGCUCGUGCCGGGCUUCUUUUCCUUGGCACGAUGAAAACGUUUCUGGCGCCUGACAGUAAACGAAUUCCAAGGAAGGGGCAGAUGUAACGUAGUAUCAUAAGCGCGCGAUUCUCUUCAGUUUACUUAAUGGUUUAAACAUUCAACUACGUGCAAGCCUGUUAACUCUAAUAAUCCCAUUCUUCCGAUAAUACCAAGUCCAUCGUUCAGUUUUAAGUGUAUUUAAAAAGAUAAUGAGCAAACACGAUUAAAGUUAUUUAAGACGAUGGAAACUUCAACCUUCUGUGGAGUGAAGUGGUAUUGCUGAUAUAAAUAACAUUGUUUUAUUACAAUCUGCGAGUGUUAAUUUUAAGAGGCGCACGAACGAAAACCAUUAAACAAGUUAUGUAUCGUGCGAGCAAUCUCGUUGAAUCAUGAAAGAUCCAAGUUAUGUGCGUUACACGCUUAUGCAAUAUCACGUAACGCCUUCACCCUGAACUCGCGCACACUGAAUGAAAUUAUUGUACGAUAAAAGCUUCCUACGAAUGAAUAGAAAUCGGAAGCAACAGACUAGACGCGUGUGUUCUAUCAGUUUGAUGUUUCCUCGGCUUCAUCUCUCGGCUUUUCAUGACAGGCUUUUAAAAUACAGCAUUAUCUCUGAACUAGCCAUUACAUGUUACGUACACACGUUCGUAAAUAUAAGGUAAACGUUUGCACUUUGAUAAGUGGAAUAUGGUGAAAAAAUAUUUGCAUAGCCGAUGAAUACCGGUGUUACUUGAAUUUGGAGCAUAGGCGAUUACCCAGAGAAUGGCCAGCGAGAAUUUCUUCACGCCCCAGAUUAAUCGACGAGUGACCGUGGUUCAAUUACCGCUUGUGGAUCGGUAAUUACAUAACUUCCGGUGAAGGAUGAGUUGAGCAGGCGCGACAUUGACCGCUCAAUCGCUUAAUACGUUGGCCGGUCUCCUCAAGAAGAAUGGAAAUAAAUGAGGGUCAUGACCCGUAUUGAGCGAGAGUAAUGGAAGAGAUCUCGCGAUUCUUUCAGCCUUCAAUUCCAACUAUUUCGCAGUUUAUCCGUCGUAGACGCUGGUACCUCAUAAACUCGUCAAUACACAAUUUUAAUUUGCUUAUUUCUGCGUAGAAAACUCUAUGAUUCAUUAGCAAGUUAUUGCGAAGUUUAAGGGUCUUGUAAAAUUUGGAAUUUUUUCUCCAAAAGUUAUUGUAUAAUUAUUUACAAGUUGUAGGAUCUUUAAUCGUCUAUAGUCUUCGUCAACGAUGCUACUCGUUCGUGUUUCGUUAACAAGUACGGUCGAUAUCACGUGGAUAUUUAUAAACCAAACACUUCCAAACAAUAGAAUAAAAGACCUCGAUAAACCAUGACGCGAUUAUCUGCGAAAAGAACGCGAAGCUGAGGUAUCGGUCACGACGAAGAUAUCCGCGAAGGACGGCAAUUACAUUUCCUCGCGCCUAACAAGCGUAAUAUCCGAAGCUGCUAUUUUCUAUGCUCGUGUAAAGCCCAAUCCCCUCCAGCGAGAAGGUCAGAAGUCAGGAAAAAAGUAGCAGGAAGGGGGAGAGAAGCAGAUAAAGUGCUUGAUGGUGGGUGACAAGCUAAUAUCGAGGAUGGUAAGGUGGCCGAAGGGACCGACUAGGAGGCAAUAUCUUGUAAUGGAUGUGAUGUUUCUCGGCAAACUCAUUCCAUGGAAGGUUGUGCAUUUGCCUAACCAUUUCUCUACCACGCUUCUGAUUCCCUUGACCUCGAAAAUCCCUCCGGAGAUCUACAAUCAGGGUCGUGCGAGUCUUUGCCGUUUUUCCUCUUUUACAUUCUUACCUAACGUCUUAUCGAAUGUGCGCUCACGAAACAAGUCACACAAGCGAAACGCACGGAAUGUAAUGCUCGUGGGUCAGCACGCAUGAGCGGUACGUAAACGCACGGAGAAGACAAACAGAAGCAGGACCGAUGGCGAAAAGAAGGAGGAAGGGAGACAGAGGAGCGUUCAGAUGAAGAGAGCAAUAGGAAACGAGAGAGAUGAGCAAAUAAUGGGAGUGUGAAUCAGAAGAUAUAAAUAUCUUCCUGGUGAAUAAAACGAAGACAGCUAUCUAUACCUGGAGACAGAUCAUAUGUAAAUAUACCUGCCACUCUGAUCUACAGCCACUGUAACAGAAAUAAAAUAGGAACGCGUUGUAUUAUAUUAACCAAGUAUCUGGAGCGAAAGAUCAAAUGCUUACUUUUCAUCUUCUCUUUUGUCGCUGAUAAUUUGUAACUGAUUGUCACUGAAAUGUUGCUUUCUCAAUUACGCGUUUGGAAGCAUAUUCUUCGAGUAGUAGCAUCCAAAAACAUGCGUAAUUGUUACGAGACAAUUAGUUAACCGAUUAUACACGUGUGUCGUUUUUCCAAUCAAUUAUGACGAUCGGUCGUCGUAUAUCGAUCCAGCAUUUCUUCUUCUUUCAUUGCGGAUUAUGUACACAGUUAUCGAGAAAGUUGACAUCUCGAAUACCAAUUUCGUUCAUUAACAAAGCUAAAACUUGCUACUUGUACUGGAACGACGCAACUUUGUUCGUUCAAACGAAAAUCUGUUUACUGGAGAAACUAACUUCGCGUUUCCUAAUUUUUUGACGUACAACAGAAUGCUUCGACGUGCUUCAUCGUGUACCUUAAUAGAAGGGGAAACUUUGUUACUAAAACCUUUUAGCCCUAUAUACGAAACUAUCCUUAAUCCUCGUUACCUAGUCAGCGAGUCAAAGUUGUAUCGAAUCGCAUCGAGUUAAGACGACGAGACGCGAUGGAUAAACCGACGAAAGGUGAAAAGCAAUUACAACGGUUAUCGGGCGAGUGUACGCUGGAAAACGACGAAAACCCGCAAUUGCUGCUGGAUAACAUUGGCGCGCUCUCUGUGAAGCUUGGCUCGAGUAAACGUCGGUAUUCGGUAUCAGAAAUCAGGCGUCGAUAAGAACGAAUUCACGUGAAUUAUGAAACGAGAUAUCGUAUCAGCGCGGUAACGACGAGAAAUGUCCAAGUAACAUCGAUCGCCCCGUAUACGAAGAUGAAUGGACUUGGCUUUACGAUUCGUAUUGGUUUGGUCGACCGAAAAUCCCUUUGAUCGCUUUGGACGAUGACGUCGAGGAAUCUUUUACUUGCUCGUUCUCACUUUAGAGGUCGAUACAGUACGACUGGCUAGUAAUCAGUUUCUCAGUCGCACAGAAAUCUCAUGCAACGAAGCUAGAUACGAGAAACAGUCGCAGUCUUGAAAAAUAAACCAAUGUUAGGUAGCAGCUUUUUCCUGUUGAGGAUGUCCCUUUUCCUGCGGAGGAAGUACGCUCAAGUGCAGUGUCCGUAAUCCCAGAGCGAAUUAAACGGCAGAAGGACUCAAUGAUGUUUUUAUACGGCGUCUAAAUAACUUACUACAGAUUGUAGGACAAUCCUCUCGUAAUUCAUUUUUCCAUAAAGACAUCGUGUAUCGAUGUUACUCGGUUAAUCUCGAAGCAAACGAACGAUUUAGGCACUCUAGAAAUUCGCGGUAACUCAGAAACGUUUUCGCAUAAAUCUGAAUCCGCUUUUCAACUGUAGGAAAUUUCGUUCUAGAACAAUAGGAAUCUCACGUACGCGCGACCGAAUAUACGAUCAAGAUCCAUACACUCAAGAAACUCCUGUUCUGUGUGACGUGCGCGGUCCGAUUAGUAUCCUAAUAAGAUCUUCCUACGUGCUUCGUUAACUUUGCGCGCUGACAAAUUUUAUUCCGGCUGACGUGGAAACGCGUUUAAUCCCGCGAAAGUCGUUGCCAUAAAAAUUCAGUCGUAGGUCACGACGUAUCUCAGAGAUGCAUGAAAAAUGUUGCUAUUUAACGCAGGUGUUAGAUCAUUCCUGCAUGAACUCUGUCAGGCACAGGACCAAAGGCAGAUGCAAAAAGUGUUCCACCUUUUUCUCAUUUUUCACCCAUCUUCUCCUGCUUCUCUUUCUUUCCUUCCUUACUUAUGCCGAGUUUCCAGCGACAUACAGACAUGUAGUGUAUCGCGUAACGAUUAUUUUUCUUCGAUAUAGCUUGUGAUCUAUAUGUUUGAAAAUAUUUAUUUAUUUAAAAAAACCUUUUUUUACCGCGUGUCUGACAAAUUAACCAUACUCGUCUUAGGUGAAGAAGAACGUAUCGUCUAGAAAUACAUUUUCCAAAUUUGGAAAUAAAUAGAGGAGAAACCGGUUUUGAAAGAGAGAGUAACAUGGAAAGCAAAUCGCAGGAGUGAGCAUACCAUCGCUACCGUUGAGAAAUAAGCAUGCUUCUUUUUUUAGACAAACCGGCUAACUCGGCAGACCGCAGGGUGUAAGCCCUCGUUUUGAAUAUGGAUGGCAGUUCCCUUUUUCGGUACCGUCUCUCGUUUCUCUCACUCGCUCGCUCAUUCUACUCGACUCGCUCUCUCUUCCUUCUCGUCUAUUUCUCUUAACCCUCAUUCCGGCCUCCCCUGCUACAAAAUUAACUCGCAUUCCGAGCUCCCUUUGAUGUUACACAAAGUGUCACUGACCAUCGUCUAUGUUUGCGGUGCAACUGUGCGCAUGCAUGUAUAUGUAUUAAAUUCGGUACACUUGUAUUCACUUACUGGAUUAACGAUACAUUCCUUUAUCCAUUCUUACACGAUUCGUUUACACUUGUAGACAAAUCUUCUCAGCCUUAAGCGUUAUUUUUAAAUGAUAUGGAACAGCGGUUUUUGCUGGGAUCAUGGUCCUCCGGGGACUCACAAAGUCCUUACGCACGCAAGUUAUUACUAUAUUAUUUGAAUAAAAAAUAUUUAGUACGUGUAUUUAUUUAUUUAUUUAUGUUUUGGUGAAUCUCUUCUCUCAAAAUUUAAAGAUUGUCGAUGAGCAUUUUCUUCAUUUAUUAAUGCAGUUUCAACCUCCGUGAGAAGAUAUCGUUGAGUAGUUUUAAACACACAUAUUUGGCACAUUACGGAUUUUAAUUUCGUAUCAAGUCCUGAGGGUCCGUGACAAAAAAAAGAUUAUUCAAAGGAGGUCCGUGGUAGACAAAAGAACGUUAACAACCGCUGGUGUAGAGUAUGCGCGAGUGACGCGAAUUAUACGACUACAAAAUAUGCAUGUAGAAUUUCGGAGGAUUCGUACAUCUGCGCGCGCGCGCGUGAUGCUUGGACGUCAGCACAAAAACAAGCAGAAAUGGUUAUUUAAGAGAUCGAGACGUAAGAGAAUUCGCCAAGCUCACAUUCGACCAUAAGUUUAUUCUCGAUAUGCACAUAUAUUUUACUUUUUGAAACGUUAUCAAUUUUGCUUGACUUUCAAUUCAACAAAUAAUAUUGUUUGUUUAACCUGUGUGUUUAAGAAUCGUAAUUUGUAGAGACACAUUGCCAGUGACAUGUGUCGCCGUGUAACGUGCACGUGUUACAUGCAUUGCAUUGGCAUCCGCAUGUACAUUUCCUCGAGGAACGUGUUUCGGAAGGAGACGAAGCUAUUUCGUAAUUGCUUUGCUUCCUUGAUGACUCGAUCCGAGAGUAAAACCGAGUGACCUGUUCAUUCCUGAUAUGAACCAGUGACUUAUGUCAGUUUCGAGACUUCUGCAAACCUUAGAACUUUCGAUUCGAUUAUUUCUCUGAAUACUUUAAUAGAAACGUUUCACGUUUCGAUCGAUCCACACCGCCAAUGGCCAACUAUACUAUUUGCUUCAAAAUUACCUUUUAAUGGAGCCGAGAAGAAUAAAAAGUAAAGUACGACGAAAUCGGAUUGUCCGUGCUCCGCUUGUCUUGAGCGUGACAUUAAGUACAGAAGAUUGAACGUAUUAAGUUCUACACCUCCCAGGCUUUCUGCGACACGCGAAAUGAGCCUUAGAAAAUUAUUACUACGUGUAAUGAGUCAUUUAGACCAGCUACUAACUACUACCAUGUAAGUGAUGGCGCAUUCGUUUAAUCAUCGGAUUUACUGUAUUAACUUAAUUGCUUUCUUCCUUCAUUCUACGACACGAUACCUUCGUUUGUAAUUACUAGCAUCUUGCAAUGGGUCGGUGUAAAGGAAAAUGGAAACACUUGUGCAAUCGUGACAAAGUAAAAGCAUUUCUUUCUUUUAAUUUGCUAUUUCACCCGAGAACGGGCUUCGAGUAAUCGUACAAUUUUUUAAAAAACCGACGCAACUGCACGGUAUUCGCGAUUACUUGUAACUUUUGUCGAUCAAUUUCAAAGUUAAAUCGACAAAUUGUGAUGGCUGUUCUGUUCGCCGUCCUACUAUUUUCAUAACGUUACAUGCAUACCCGUCAGUAGCAAAUUUAAUCUUCGAUGAAGACGUAUUGUUCGACUCGAAUACGAACGAACGAAUCGAACUCACAGCAGUUUAACUCUAUUGUAUCGAAUAUUAUAUUACAUGCAGCCACGUUUCGGAACAAAUCCCUGGCGAAUAUAUUACCAUGGUGAUUUUAUUCAGCUGCCACUAUUUUUUCUGUCGUUUCACGCCAUCGCUGAUGAUAAUGAAAGAUCGGAUCGAAUGCGUCUUCACUCGCUGCUUUCAUCGAUAUUCGAUGUUUUUCUAAAAUGGCCCCAUGGGUAGGACGACAGCGUUCGUUUGCGGAAUUUAAUUCGUUAUUAAACGUUAGAUAUUGCGCAAGCACCCUCGUUGGCUGACGCGUAAGAAAGGCAACGACGCGCGUCGUACAGAUGUGUAACCGGUAGCUGUUUAAAUUGGACGCAUACAUGGCACAUCAUACAGAAAUUCGUUCCCCAGAGGCGAAGUUAACAGCGGCGGAGCAACACGGCCCCACAGGAAAUUCUCUUACCGAAUGGAUCAUGAGAUGCAUCUACCACGGACGAACCUCUGAUAAACACCGUGAAAAUUUUCCCUAACGUUGUCUAAAUAUUGUCGGAUGAUUCUUCGGAUAUCUACCGUUUUUCCAUCAUUUUGUGAUACGGUCCGUGGCCUUGAUGGAAUUUGUCCUGCAGCUGGCCCAUUUACAAUUUCAUCGUUUGCUAUUUAUUUUACUAGAAACGUCCCUGUGGAAUUUGCAUUCCAACAAAUAUCCCGAGCCACCUAUUGAGUAAAUGGAUGAUCGAAAUAUCGUAGGGCUGAAUAUGACGCGUGGUUCGAUGCGAUCAAUUUAAAUGUGACAAACCAUCGUUAUGCAUACAUCUAAAAGGCUAAUAUCGGAUCGCCCGUGGUCAACUAAGUUGCGCGAGAAAUACGUUCUACGUAAUAACUUUUCAUCUAUACGAAUACGAUUGAUACGAAUUGAAAUCACAUGCAGGUUAAACUUCCAUUUAAUUCGAUAUGCGUAGCGUGAUUGCAAGUUUUUAGGAAUAUCGGAAACCAGUUUGCGUGACCGCAACGGAUUAAGAAAAUAUAUAAAUGGAAAAACUUUUUGCUACACAAACUUCUCUCCUCGUUUUCUUUAUUUUCAUCGUUUUAACUUUCGUAGUACGAUGCUGCUAUAUAAUGGCGGAGACAGCGUGCAAUUUUAUCCUCAAGUCUGUCGCGUCUUCUGCUCGACAUCCUCGUUCUAUUACUUUUAUGAAUGCGUCCUCCUCUAUUUCAUUUAAAUUUUAACCUGCCCGUGGCUUUCAUUUUAACAUUCGCAUUAUCACAUCCUCGAGUUUCUUGAAAUUUCAGGUUCGAUCUUCGCCCGUUCGAAUUCCGGUCGGUUUUAGAUUAAGCAAAUCGCUCGCCAUUUAAAUUUCCAACGCUUCUUUCUUGUUUUGUAAGGAAUAUGCUUUCUAGUAAGCUUGUCAAUAUCGUGAACGAAGAUGAAUCGCCCUGUCGAAUAUGUCGCGAAAGACGUCGAUAAAAAUUUUUAAAAGGAAGGAUCGAUGAUCAAUAUGGAUAACACUGCGCGAAUCUUUGCAUCGAAUGUAAUUAGUCUCAUCCAGUUACUGUAAAUUCGAUUUAUUCGCCCGUACGAAAAUUUUAGCCGCAAAUUUUCUCUGUUCCCGGAUGGAACGGUGACCCUCUCCGAAAUUGUGAGAAAAUGUAAAAAAAUCUCAUUCACGAGCAAACGAAUUUCACGGUUACAUGACCUUAUGUCGAGGUGCAGGCAUUUUAACGAGCACCUGACAUUUUUAGUGAUACAUAACCGCGAUAAAAUUGGUUCGAUCCGCAAAAUUGACCAAUGUGAUCUUCUCACUCCAGUUGCUGUAACAAGUAAAAGUUACUCUAACAAUUUCGCAAAGAACGUGAUCUGCACGCUAUAUGUAACACUCUUUCAUUGAGUAAUUAACUAAUCAACCGCGACCGGUAUAGCGAAAAAAGUGUUUUCGCUGAACGACAAUAGCCAUUAUUGCUUUUUUCAAUAAUCGACGGAACAUCGAUUCCUGAAGGCCACCGGUUGAAACGAAUGUGACGACCGCAAAACCGGCUGUUCCUAGUUUGGCGAGGCGACCGAACUUGAACGAUCUCGAACUUGUUUCAUGAAAAUCUAGUAGAGUAGGCGAUAAAAAAUAUGCUACAAAUACCUCCUUGGCAACAAAUUAAUUCCUUUCCUCCUACCUUUCUUCCUGUCUGACGCGUACGGAGUUCUAAGUCCAUGCACCUCGAAAGAGGAGAAAAUCUAGUUGAAGAAUGUACUUGAUCUGAGAGCCUUUUUAGCUCUUAAUGGGGUGUGAGAUGAAUGUCUCUUUGGCGUCUCAAAGAGAGAGAAAAAAAAAUGGCGAGAACAGUACAGCCCAUAUCUGGCUCAGAUGAGCGCGCCAGAAUUAUAUCGAGAAAUAAAAAAUAAAAAAAUACUCUAGAAAUAAAAUACCGUAUUUACGCGUAAACUCUGGGAAUAUUUGGACAGCUGUGACACACUGUUGGUUCCCAUCGAGCAUGAAACAUAACCGUGAUUUGAAAAAAAUAUCAUAAAUGUUACGUAAAAAACCGCCAAGAUUUUGAUAUCGGAUAUAGGACAAACACGUGGUAAUUCUACGAGGUACUAUAAAUAAAAAUUACAGGCGAUCCAUAUUUUUAUUAUACCAAUAUGUUGAGAAGUUGAAAUAAGAAUUUGAAUUGUAUUAUCCCUUUGUGUAAUAAAAUCUGAAGAGAUGAAGAAUAUUGAUUAACUAUUCUUGAUUGUGUAAUUUAUAUGACUUUUGCGUAAGAAGAUAUGUUUUAAAGGACGAAGAAUUAUGCAAUUAUUAGAAUUAUUUUAAUUGAUCCAAGCAAAUAUUUCUUAUAUAUUUAUUUCAUAUAUACUGAAUAUUUCAAACAAAACUUGUUGUUUCAAGGAGAACGUUUUCUGGUAAUUCUUCGAGAUGUCUGUAAAUUUAUGCAUAUCUCAAGGUGAUCCCUGUUUUCUUAAAUGGAACUACACAUUAUUUUCUAUACAUCAUUCGAUGUAGCUUUUGAUCUUUACAAAAAGGUAUUAAAACAUUGGUAUCUGAAAAUGCCUAGUUUAAAAGAUUUCAAUGUUAAUUUCGUCAAACUGUGUGCAUGAAAGACAAUGGAAACACAAAUAUGAAAGCUUUCUACGUUAUCUUUCCUUGUUUUUUAUACGAUAAAUUUUACAAGA